AAGGAAUAGUUUAUGUAG
rnacentral:tRNA from 1 species